rnacentral:lncRNA from 1 species
CACCUUAUGAGAAAUCAAUAUCAUUGGGUUCCGGGGGGAGUAUGGUCGCAAAGGUGAAACUUAAAGGAAUUGACGGAAGGGCACCACCAGGAGUGGAGCCUGCGGCUUAAUUUGACUCAACACGGGGAAACUUACCAGGUCCAGACAUAGUAAGGAUUGACAGACUGAGAGCUCUUUCUUGAUUCUACGGGUGGUGGUGCAUGGCCCUUCUUAGUUGGUGGAGCGAUUUGUCUUGUUAAUUCUGUUAACGAACAAGACCUCAACCUGCUAAAUAGCUAUGUGGAGGUAACCCUCCACGGCCAGCUUCUUAGAGGGACUAUGGCCACUUAGGCCACGGAAGUUUGAGGCAAUAACAGGUCUGUGAUGCCCUUAGAUGUUCUGGGCCGCACGAGCGCUAUAAUGAUCUAUUCAACGAGUCUAUAGCCUUGGCCGACAGGCCCGGGUAAUCUUUGAAAUUUCAUCGUGAUGGGGAUAGAUCACUGCAAUUGUUGGUCUUCAACGAGGAAUUCCUAGUAAGCGCGAGUCAUCAUCUCGCGUUGA